UACGUAGGGGGCAAGCGUUGUCCGGAAUCAUUGGGCGUAAAGCGCGUGUAGGCGGCCCGGUAAGUCCGCUGUGAAAGUCGGGGGCUCAACCCUCGAAUGCCGGUGGAUACUGUCGGGCUAGAGUGCGGAAGAGGCGAGUGGAAUUCCUGGUGUAGCGGUGAAAUGCGUAGAUAUCAGGAGGAACACCGGUGGCGAAGGCGCACAUCUGGCCCGAUACUGACGCUGAGGCGCGAAAGCUAGGGGAGCAAACAGG
rnacentral:rRNA from 1 species